UUGUUUCUGAACACGUGAAUUUCUCUUGCUGGAGUGUUUCAUUGAAAAGGAAUUUGGUUCUGAAGCUACUCUUGAAGCUUACAAUCUGAAAAACACAGGGGAAUUAUUUUGCUCUAUGUUGUGUUGGAGUUCCUGCCCAAGAGGUGGCAACAGUUCAGACUUCAGACUUAAAUCACGGGGUUAGGAAAGCAAUGAAAGUUAGCAACGGAAGAUCGUAGCCAUGUCUGAACGGCUGGCUGCUACUGAAGCUCGUCCACCGUCUUCGCUUUGUUGAGAUCAAAAGCCUCUUCACUCCUUCACUAUGAGAUGUGGAAAUAUGGAGGGGAAGGAUCCUCGACCGGAACGUCCAUCAGGCCGUGUCCCUCGAUCAGUAUCUCCAUCAAAUCCCGUCGCAUUGCAACUUCCACAGUAAUGUUCAAUGUUACCGGCAGAGGAAAAUCAUCCGUGGAGCCAUCCAAUGCCGAGUUCGCCGGCGGAAGAAGAUCAUCCGUCGAGUCGUCCAUCACCUGAGGCUGUUACACCAGAGGUGCCAGAGGCGUCUGAUCGUGCUCAGGUGGAGUCCAAGGAGGUUCAACUCUCAGACAUGCCAGCAAUCACUCUCGAUGACACUCACGUGCAGAUUGUAAGUUUCCCCUCAGUCCCGAUAUAUUGAUGUGAGACAUGCUGUAUUUACAUCAUAUUGCUAGAAACACAUGCAAAUUGCAUAAUUUGUUAUACAUGUCGCUUAUUGGACCUCAAGAAUAGAGUUGACACCUUAUACACGGUGUUAGUUUGUUCCUUUUUCUAUUGUCCUGAUUAUAUUCCAUCACAGAUUGAGAAACAAAAAGUGGUCAAGGACUCAAGUUCCAGAGACUAAUUAAUUUGUGCAUAAUAUAUUUGAUAUGUUCUGACCCAUAACAAAAAUAGUGUUCUUCAUAUUUGAUAGUCUGUUAGCUGUUAUGUGAUAGUUUGUGAGCUAUUCCUUUGAUGUAUCUGAACUGUGAUGUGGUUUACAGGGUUAGACUGGAUAUGUCUUCUUUUCGUUCUGCAUCCAAAAUAGCCAUAUGGAUGCAAGUACUUUAGACACGUAUCUGUAAUGAAACUGGUGCAGUUGGUGCUUUGUUACUUGGAAACCAAAAAGGACAUAGAGGAAGUGUGCACAUAUAAGAAAAGUAUGUCUUCCCAUAAACUAAAACAUCAAGGUUAUACAAAUAGAGAAAAUGAACCAGUGGCCAUCAAGGUGAAAGUAAACAAACUUAGGAUUUGGUUGUUUAUCCGAUCCAUAAGUAGGCAAGCAAGGGUAAUUUAUGUUAA